GUGAACUACCACUGAGCUGAAGACGCAGCGGCUUCUUCGGAAGUCGUCGGGUCUGCGGUUUGGGAGCUUUUUAGGAAGCUCAAGUUCACCAGACUCCUCAUCAGAAAUGAUGAGACCGUUUGAAAGGUCAUGACACCUGCGGUUGACGCAUCAGACCGCUGCUCUGUC
rnacentral:sRNA from 21 species